rnacentral:rRNA from 1 species
CCACCUGGGGAGUACGAUCGCAAGAUUGAAACUCAAAGGAAUUGACGGGGGCCCGCACAAGCAUUGGAGUAUGUGGUUUAAUUCGAAGCAACGCGAAGAACCCUACCAGGGCUUGACAUCCUGCGACGACACUAGAGAUAGUGUUUUCCUACGGGACGCAGAGACAGGUGGUGCAUGGUUGUCGUCAGCUCGUGUCGUGAGAUGUUGGGUUAAGUCCCGCAACGAGCGCAACCCCUGUUGUUAGUUGCCAUCAGGUAAAGCUGGGCACUCUUACGAGACCUGCCGGUGACAAAUCGGAGGAAGCUGGGGAUGACGUCAAAUCAUCAUGCCCCUUAUGUCCUGGGCUACACACGUACUACAAUGGCUGCUACAGAGGGCAGCGAAGCCGCGAGGUGGAGCAAAUCCCUAAAGGCAGCCCCAGUUCGGAUUGCAGGCUGAAACUCGCCUGCAUGAAGUCGGAAUUGCUAGUAAUGGCAGGUCAGCAUACUGCCGUGAAUACGUUCCCGGGCCUUGUACACACCGCCCGUCACACCAUGAGAGUUGCAACACCCGAAGUCAGUAGUC